CAGGGGAGGAGUAGAGAGGUGGCCUGCAGCCUGAAGCAUGACAGCCAGCAACCCAGGCUCAGAGAGGUGACAUUUAUGCUGGGAUAUCUUCUAGGCUGGAUCCUGAGAUAGGUCUCAGCAGUACAGCAAUUCUGUCGUCCACUGUGUGGUAGGAAAGACCCUCCCUGGUAUUAGCACCUGCCAGGAGCUCCGGAAGACUUCUUCCUGACCGGCCUCAGCCUGACAUCUGAAGGAGGCUACGAAGCUUGCUGAGGGCACCAUUCGCUCCCAGAGAGUCCAGGCCCCAGCUUCCUGUUGCCUUUAGAAUGGGACCCUGUAUUCGUUCUAUUAGUUCCCUGGGCUGCCGAAUGAAGUGCCACCACCCGAGUGUUCUUAAACGACAGAAAUGUCUUCUCUUCUUCUUCCGGAGACUGGAAGUGUGAGAUUAAGGUAUCGGCAGCACCAUGCUUCCUGUGAAGCCUCUAGGGCAGGAUCUGGCCCGGCCCCUUCGGCCCCUUAUGGCCCCAGGGCUUGAAGCAAAAGCCUCCCGGCAAAGAAGAAAGAGCCAACACUGAUGGAAUUGGUGUAAGCCUAAAUAACCCUAGGCGGAGGGGUCGGUGCUGCUGGAGUUGGCUGAGCCCGAGAGUGAUGGGAUGUGGCUGGAGAUGGAGGCCGAGCCCAGGUGGGGAGGUCUUUGAAUGCCCACUGCCCUGCCGCUUUGGCUUUUGUCCUGCAUGCCAGCGACUCUAAGCCUUCACCCUCCAUCAGAAGCACCUGAGGGCUAGACAAAAAAUGCAGAUUUCUACCUGCCCUGCAAAAGGUUUUGAUUCAGCACAUCGGGGUGGGGCCUGCACAUUCACUUUUCUAACAUUCUCAGCUAACCCUGAGCCUGCUCAUCUAGCACCACGCUUUGAAUAUUGUUGCGUCAGAGAGUGGGUUAAUGGAGAACUAUCCGGAAAAUAUUUGCAUUUUAAAUUGA